CAGGAUCACAUUGGAGCUGUCGUCAAAGUAGAGCACAGAAAUGGCAUGGAGCUGUGUCGGUGCACAGCAAGGUUUGGGAACCGACUCAGGAUUAACAAAAUGAACCUGGAAGGGAGAGGAAGAGGAGGAGGAGACGGGCUGCGUGUCCAGGGUGAGGACUGGAGAGAUGUGAUUGCUAGCUGAAGAUAUGUAACCAGCAACCAAGAAAAAAGCCCCAGAGAGCCAUCCGGUCUGCCCUUCAUCUGGUUCUCAUGAGUUGGGGGCUCCAUGUUUGCUGUACCCCAUCCCCACUGCCUCGUCAUUCCUAUUGCCACAUCCCUGCUUUCCAGUCCAUCCUGCGCCACCAGGAAGCCCCCUCCCUUACCUUUGUUCCUCUUAAGUCACAGCAGGACAUUCCCAGGGUGAAAAAUGUUUGCCUAUAGAGAAUCAUUUAGGAGUUCAUCAAUUUCUCUUCAUAUAACUUUCUGUGUAAUGAUAAAUCUCAUCUGGGAUUCACAUUCAGGUUAUUUUAAUUUGAAUUUCGUUUUCUCAACAACUCAGCAAAACUUUGAAUGUCAAUAGCUAAAUAUUUUUGCAGUGUUUGAUAAACUAGAAUCAUAAUCACAUAAAGAAACAGUUACAUAGAAAGAUCAAUACUUCCUUUUGCUGUACUGUCUUGUUUUAACAUGCAAAUGUAAUAAAACUCGGCAGUAA